CUGCGGCAGCGACACUAUGUGUUGUUGGGUAGGGGAGCGUUCUGUAAGCCUGUGAAGGUGUGUCGUGAGGCAUGCUGGAGGUAUCAGAAGUGCGAAUGCUGACAUAAGUAACGAUAAAGCGGGUGAAAAGCCCGCUCGCCGGAAGACCAAGGGUUCCUGUCCAACGUUAAUCGGGGCAGGGUGAGUCGACCCCUAAGGCGAGGCCGAAAGGCGUAGUCGAUGGGAAACGGGUUAAUAUUCCCGUACUUGGUGUUACUGCGAAGGGGGGACGGAGAAGGCUAUGUUGGCCGGGCGACGGUUGUCCCGGUUUAAGCGUGUAGGUGUGUGUUCCAGGUAAAUCCGGUUCACUUUAACACUGAGGCGUGACGACGAGGCACUACGGUGCUGAAGCAACAAAUGCCCUGCUUCCAGGAAAAGCCUCUAAGCAUCAGGUAACAUCAAAUCGUACCCCAAACCGACACAGGUGGUCAGGUAGAGAAUACCAAGGCGCUUGAGAGAACUCGGGUGAAGGAACUAGGCAAAAUGGUGCCGUAACUUCGGGAGAAGGCACGCUGACACGUAGGUGAAGUGAUUUACUCAUGGAGCUGAAGUCAGUCGAAGAUACCAGCUGGCUGCAACUGUUUAUUAAAAACACAGCACUGUGCAAACACGAAAGUGGACGUAUACGGUGUGACGCCUGCCCGGUGCCGGAAGGUUAAUUGAUGGGGUCAGCGCAAGCGAAGCUCCUGAUCGAAGCCCCGGUAAACGGCGGCCGUAACUAUAACGGUCCUAAGGUAGCGAAAUUCCUUGUCGGGUAAGUUCCGACCUGCACGAAUGGCGUAAUGAUGGCCAGGCUGUCUCCACCCGAGACUCAGUGAAAUUGAACUCGCUGUGAAGAUGCAGUGUACCCGCGGCAAGACGGAAAGACCCCGUGAACCUUUACUAUAGCUUGACACUGAACAUUGAGCCUUGAUGUGUAGGAUAGGUGGGAGGCUUUGAAGUGUGGACGCCAGUCUGCAUGGAGCCGACCUUGAAAUACCACCCUUUAAUGUUUGAUGUUCUAACGUGGACCCGUGAUCCGGGUUGCGGACAGUGUCUGGUGGGUAGUUUGACUGGGGCGGUCUCCUCCUAAAGAGUAACGGAGGAGCACGAAGGUUGGCUAAUCCUGGUCGGACAUCAGGAGGUUAGUGCAAUGGCAUAAGCCAGCUUGACUGCGAGCGUGACGGCGCGAGCAGGUGCGAAAGCAGGUCAUAGUGAUCCGGUGGUUCUGAAUGGAAGGGCCAUCGCUCAACGGAUAAAAGGUACUCCGGGGAUAACAGGCUGAUACCGCCCAAGAGUUCAUAUCGACGGCGGUGUUUGGCACCUCGAUGUCGGCUCAUCACAUCCUGGGGCUGAAGUAGGUCCCAAGGGUAUGGCUGUUCGCCAUUUAAAGUGGUACGCGAGCUGGGUUUAGAACGUCGUGAGACAGUUCGGUCCCUAUCUGCCGUGGGCGCUGGAGAACUGAGGGGGGCUGCUCCUAGUACGAGAGGACCGGAGUGGACGCAUCACUGGUGUUCGGGUUGUCAUGCCAAUGGCACUGCCCGGUAGCUAAAUGCGGAAGAGAUAAGUGCUGAAAGCAUCUAAGCACGAAACUUGCCCCGAG
rnacentral:rRNA from 2 species